GACGAACGCUGGCGGCGUGCUUAACACAUGCGAGUCGAACGCUGAAGCUCAGCUUUUGUUGGGUGGAUGAGUGGCGAACGGGUGAGUAACACGUGAGUAACCUGCCUCCUUCUUUGGGAUAACGCCCGGAAACGGGUGCUAAUACUGGAUAUUCACUGGUCUUCGCAUGGGGGUUGGUGGAAAGGGUUUUUCUGGUGGGGGAUGGGCUCGCGGCCUAUCAGCUUGUUGGUGGGGUGAUGGCCUACCAAGGCUUUGACGGGUAGCCGGCCUGAGAGGGUGACCGGUCACAUUGGGACUGAGAUACGGCCCAGACUCCUACGGGAGGCAGCAGUGGGGAAUAUUGCACAAUGGGCGCAAGCCUGAUGCAGCGACGCCGCGUGAGGGAUGGAGGCCUUCGGGUUGUGAACCUCUUUCGCUCAUGGUCAAGCCGCAACAAUGGUUGUGGUGAGGGUAGUGGGCAAAGAAGCGCCGGCUAACUACGUG
rnacentral:rRNA from 1 species